rnacentral:SRP_RNA from 1 species
CCGUGCUAGAUGGGGAGGUAGCGGUGCCCUGUAACCUGCAACCCGCUAUAGCAGGAUUGAAGGCCUACGUUGAGGCAUCCCAGCUGUGGGGCCUGGUGUCGGCAAGUGGUGUUGACGGUUGGGUCCUGGGCAAUUGAUCUUUUGCAAACCCCGUCAGGUCCGGAAGGAAGCAGCGGUAAGCAGAAGUAUCGAUGUGCCCCAGGGUAGCCUGGCUCGAGCUAACUGCCGAAGUGCCGCCCGGAGUUGGAUGUCGAAAGUAGGGCACGG